rnacentral:rRNA from 1 species
AUUGAACGCUGGCGGCAGGCCUAACACAUGCAAGUCGAGCGAGCGGCGGACGGGUGAGUAAUGUCUGGGAAACUGCCGGAUGGAGGGGGGUAACUACUGGAAACGGUAGCUAAUACCGCAUACCAUCAGAUGUGCCCAGAUGGGAUUAGCUCGUAUGUGGGGUAACGGCCUACCUAGGCGAGGACCCCUAGCUGGUCUGAGAGGAUGACCAGCCACACUGGAACUGAGACACGGUCCAGACUCCUACGGGCGGCAGCAGUGGGGAAUAUUGCACAAUGUGCGCAAGCCUGAUGCAGCCAUGCCGCGUGUGUGAAGAAGGCCGUCGGGUUGUAAAGCACUUUCAGCGGGGAGGCGUUACCCGCAGAAGAAGCACCGGCUAACUCCGUGCCAGCAGCCGCGGUAAUUC